ensembl:rRNA 5S_rRNA 5S ribosomal RNA
CUAUACUGACUGAUCCUGCCACAUUGUAUCAGUUAAGCAGGCUUGGACUUGGUCACUACUUGGAUAGGAGACUUCCAAGGAAUAGCUAUGGGCAGUAUUGU